GUCCCAUUUGCACAGUGGUUGUGCUGCUGGAAAUAAUAUCUUUGCAAAAGCCGCGUAUUCCAGUGUGUGCUGGUUCGAAUCCGGCGUGGGACA